CAGGAUCCAAGUUGACGCAGUUGUGGCGUAGUUCACAGAUUUGGCUGGGAUUCCGUCCCUGGCCUGGGAAUUUCCAUAAGCCGUGGGUGUGGCAGAAAAAGGAAAAAAAAAAAAAGGAAAUAAAAAGAGAAAAAAAAAGUGAUUGCCUCAAUAGACUGAGCACCAGCUGCCUGGUCAAGGUCACCUCAUGCCCGCAUCAGCCCUUGCUGGGCAUGUUAGUGUCGCGUCUGUUACGAGAGGAACACUGCACGAAGGGGUGAGUGGCAGGCCUGGUGUCCUGCAGGGGCAGGUGGCCAAGCUGGGAUGUGAACACAGUCCGCCUGGCUCUGAGUCCUUGUGUCCUCUGCCCAAGAUCACAGGCAGGAACUCCCAGAGGGCUGCAGCGUCCGCUUGGCAGUCUGAGUCCACUUGUCGGGACAGCGAGGGACGGUCAGCGCCCCUCCAGUUCAGCUGUGAACCAAAUGACCAGGGCGACCUGGACAGGAGCCCUGCCCACGCUGCUCACCCCGUCUAAACUAACCUAGGGUGCAACCUCCCUCACGAAGGCUUUCCUUCCCACCACCAAGAUGCAAGAUGCCACGCCUGGACCAGCUCAAAAUACCCAGUGAGGAGGCUGGCUGGAGAGUCUUCCCUGAGGGCUGGUGUCACCUCACAGCUGGACCUGGGGGGCAAAGAGGGACACAGGGGUGAGAACCAGAACCCUGAGGACCAGCCCUGCCCCGCCCUUCCCUGACCCCCGGAUCCCAUCAUCUCUAAGUGUGCUGGUCAGACCCCUGCAGAGUCUCUGAGUAUUCCGGAGAACCCCCGGAGCUCGCGGAGCGAGGCUGCUGGCUGGCAUGCAGAGACCCGCUCUCCAUAAAUCUCCGUGGGCUCUGAUGGUGGGCUUUUCUGUCCCUCGGCCCUCAUAUGGCCCAUUUUGCAGACGGGCACACUGAGGAGAGAACGGGCCUGCCUGGGUCCCAGCGGGGGGGCAGCAUCGCAGCCCUGGGGUGGCCCGGAGGGCCGGUGCCAGGCGGCGAGAACGUCAGGACCUGGAAGGAAACAUCGAUACCCCCUAGGCACCCACGGCCAAUUAGCUGAGGAGGAGGAGGCUGUUGCAACGGCUCAGAUUUUGAAAUUUGACCGUGACAACCACCCUGGCGAACUUGAUUCACCCACAGGUUGGGAGCCUCAUCUUCAGAGCCUGCCUCCCUCCCCGCAGGGGGAAAUGGGACCCGCUCCCUCACCACCUGUGCCUCCCCACUCUGUGAAAUUGGGUGUGUCCUCCCUUUGGGGGGUGUGACAGGUUGAAUCGUGUCCUAAAUGCUUGUGUCCAAGCCCUGAGCCCCAGGACCUCAGCGGGACCUCUUUUGGAGAUGGGGCCUUUCCAGAGGCCAUCCACUUAGGUGGUUGCAGUGACCCUCAUCCAAUGUGACUGACAUGCUCAGGGCUCAGAGGGGCCCACUGCACCGGGAGACCGCCUGGAACAAUUCUCCCUCGACGCCUGGACCUCAGACCUCCGCCUGCAGAGCCAGGAGACUCUAAGUGGCCGCUUUUCAGCCACCACGCUGCGGUGCGGCCUCCAGCAGCCCGGUGAAUGUGAACGAAGACAGCGAGGCAGUAAAGGGCAAUUGCACCAACAGGUGGGACGUGCGAGCGGGAGGCCUCCAACCCACGUGUGCGCAGGCACGUUAACAUUCAAAAGCCCAGCACGCCCUCCUCGAGGAAACAGAAAAACAACUGUCGGCAUUCCACCACUGGGGGAAGGCGGGGCUCUGGGUUGCCUCUGAGCCUGGGCGGAACAGCUGGGUGACACCGGUGGGUGGGAUCUGCUCCCGCCACCCCCCACCUGCCACCCGGAGCUCAGCCCGGGGUGGGGGGGGGGUCCGGACAUUUGUGAAAUUCCUGGCUGCUCCAGUGACCUCGCCCCUUUAGCAACUCCAGCCAAAGGUUCCCAAGCACCUGCAGUGUGCCCCGCCCACCCUCUCUCUGAGCAGCGCCUCGGCCCUAUGAAGUAGGACCCAUCUCAAUGCGCCAUUUUACAGACAAGCAAACUGAGGCUCAGAGGUGCGUUACUCAGCCCGACCGCGCCUGACCCUGGCACCACGUCCAAGCCUCUUCAAGCCCAUGCCAGUGGGGCGUGGCAGUGGGUGAGAGAGGGGGUGAGGGGAGGGGUGGGGAAGGGCAUUCCCAGGGGAGCGACGGCUUACACAGGGGUGGGGCUGUGGGGCAGAUGGAAGAUGGGGUUUGCAGCUGGAAAUGACCCUGAGUCCAAAGAAAAGUCCCCGCGCUGGGUGUGAAGGACUUUCUCUGAGUCCUUCUCAGUCAGGGAAUGAUUUCGGUUUGAAAAGUUCCCUCUGUUGGCGGUGUGGGCAUUGUUCCCCACUUGAAAUCGAAUGCCAGAUGCAUAAGCAACUUUAAAUUUCCUAAUAGCCAUGUUAAAAAAAGGAAAAAAUAUGCAAUUUAUUAAAAAUUUUUUUUAUUGUAGUUGCUUUACAAUUUUUUAAAAAAAUCGAAAUGCAGUCGAUUUACAAUGUUGGGUUAAUUUCUGCCGCACAGCCAAGGGAUCCAGUUACACACACAGAUAUACAUUCUUUAUCUUCUUUUACGUUUUCUCUCGGGAUAUUGAAUAUAAGUCCCUGGGCUAUACAGUGGGAUCUUGUUGAUUAUCAUUUUAAUAAUGUAUUUUAUUUAACCUAAUAUACUAGAAAAUUACUGAGAUGUUUUAGUGUUGUUUUUUUGGGCCACAUCCGUGGCCGCGUUUUUUUUCUCACCCUAAGUCUUCGAAAUCCCACUGACAGCACAUCUCAGGUUCGAACUAGCUGCUUUUCCAGGGCUCAGUAGCCACAGGGGCUCAGCGGUCCCAGCCUUGGACAGCACAGGCGUGGAGGAUGGGCUGUGGGGGCCAGAGUGGAGACAGCGAGGCUUGGUGGGAGGCCCCUGACCAGGGGCAAGUUGGGGCUGGCACUGGGCUCCCGCUUCAGAUGGGAGGGCACACAGGAGGAACUCCCAGAUGGCCCAGAAGGUAGCAAGCGUCCAGUGGGCAGGUCACAGAGCUGCACAACUGCCUGAGUUGAUUUCAGCCCAGACAGCUG
rnacentral:lncRNA from 9 species